UACAGAGGUCUCAAGCGUUGUUCGGAUUCAUUGGGCGUAAAGGGUGCGUAGGCGGCGCGGUAAGUCGGGUGUGAAAUCUCGGAGCUUAACUCCGAAACUGCAUUCGAUACUGCCGUGCUUGAGGACUGGAGAGGAGACUGGAAUUUACGGUGUAGCGGUGAAAUGCGUAGAUAUCGUAAGGAAGACCAGUGGCGAAGGCGGGUCUCUGGGCCUGUACUGACGCUGAGGAGCGAAAGCGUGGGGAGCGAACAGG
rnacentral:rRNA from 1 species